rnacentral:misc_RNA from 1 species
CAGUCUUACCGGUGGAUCACUCGGUUCGUGGAUCGAUGAAGAACGCAGCUAACUGCGAUAAGUAGCGUGAAUUGCAGACGCUUUGAACGUUAAACUUUCGAACGCACAUUGCGCCGUAGGAGUUCUACCCUGCGGCACAUCUGGUUGAGGGUCGUGAUCGAGAACUGCAGGACUGUAGCAGUUAGUAGAACUAGUUGGUGGAUCACAAGUCCAGCCUCCCGCCUCUGGCCGGAUGUGGUCUGCCAUAAUGUAUAGAGGACCUUGCGUUUUGCCUUUGCGGCAAUUGUGAUGGCCUACCACUCGGAUGAUCUAUUAGCCGAGGCAAUAGAUCCCGGUCCCGGGGUAUUAUACGACUUUGUCAUACUCGGUGGAUGUCUGGGAUACGGCUAGUACGCUUCAUACGUGCUUGGUUACGAGAGUUUUCGCUCUCCCGACCUCAACUCAGGUGUGAUUACCCGCUGAACUUAAGCAUAUCAGUAAGCGGAGGAAAAGAAACUAACGAGGAUUCCCUUAGUAACGGCGAGUGAACGGGGAAGAGCCCAGCGCUAAAUCUUGCUGCUCUAACGGGUAGCGAGAGGUGUAGCGUAUAGUAGGCGACUUUCCUUGAUGGCUGUCGACUUAAAUUCUCCUUGACUGGGGUUCCAGAGAAGGUGAAAGGCCUGUUCAGUCGAUGGCCGUCUUGGAUUCCGUCCUACUCGGAGUCGGGUUGUUUGGGAACGCAGCCCAAAUUUGGUGGUAAACUUCAUCUAAGGCUAAAUACGGCCACGAAACCGAUAGCAAACAAGUACCGUGAGGGAAAGUUGAAAAGUACUUUGAAGAGAGAGUUCAAGAGGACGUGAAACCGGUAGGAUGGAA